CCUACGGGUGGCAGCAGUGGGGAAUGUUGGGCGAUGGGCGCAAGCCUGACCCAGCAAAGCCGCGUGAAGGAAGAAGGCUUUCGGGUUGUAAACUUCUUUUUAGAGGGAAGAGCAGAAGACGGUACCUCUUGAAUAAGCCACGGCUAAUUACGUGCCAGCAGCCGCGGCAAUACGAAGGUGGAAAGCGUUGUCCGGAUUUACUGGGUGUAAAGGGCGUGUAGCCGGGAAGACAAGUCAGAUGUGAAAUCCCGCGGCUCAACCGCGGAACUGCAUUUGAAACUGUUUUUCUUGAGUACCGGAGAGGUCAUCGGAAUUCCUUGUGUAGCGGUGAAAUGCGUAGAUAUGAGGAAGAACACCAGUGGCGAAGGCGGAUGACUGGACGGCAACUGACGGUGAGGCGCGAAAGCGUGGGGAGCCAACAGGAUUAGAUACCCGGGUAGUC
rnacentral:rRNA from 1 species